UUAUUCUGUUUUACUUGUGUGUCUUCUUUUAAGCCUUGUGAAUUAGAAUGUUAUUUUGUAAACCCUGGUGAUUUUUCAGACCAUGGAGGAGUGAUGAAGUGGAAGUGGACAAGACUAUCAGUUCUUCGAGAGUUCCAGUGCCUAUAUACUCGCAAGAAGGAUAUGGUAUGGAAUAGCUUAAAGUACAUCUAUGUGCUGGCAGAUUUGUACAACAAGAAGUUGUUCCAGUGUGAGGAGAGAUGCUUGUCAUAAGACCAUGGAUGAGUGAUGAAGUGGAAGUGGACAAGACUAUCAGUUCUUCGAGAGUUCCAGUGCCUAUAUACUCGCAAGAAGGAUAUGGUAUGGAAUAGCUUAAAGUACAUCUAUGUGCUGGCAGAUUUGUACAACAAGAAGUUGUUCCAGUGUGAGGAGAGAUGCUUGUCAUAAGACCAUGGAGGAGUGAUGAAGUGGAAGUGGACAAGACUAUCAGUUCUUCGAGAGUUCCAGUGCCUAUAUACUCGCAAGAAGGAUAUGGUAUGGAAUAGCUUAAAGUACAUCUAUGUGCUGGCAGAUUUGUACAACAAGAAGUUGUUCCAGUGUGAGGAGAGAUGCUUGUCAUAAGACCAUGGAGGAGUGAAGAAGUGGAAGUGGACAAGACUAUCAGUUCUUCGAGAGUUCCAGUGCCUAUAUACUCGCAAGAAGGAUAUGGUAUGGAAUAGCUUAAAGUACAUCUAUGUGCUGGCAGAUUUGUACAACAAAAAGUUGUUCCAGUGUGAGGAGAGAUGCUUGUCAUAAGACCAUGGAGGAGUGAUGAAGUGGAAGUGGACAAGACUAUCAGUUCUUCGAGAGUUCCAGUGCCUUUAUACUCGCAAGAAGGAUAUGGUAUGGAAUAGCUUAAAGUACAUCUAUGUGCUGGCAGAUUUGUACAACAAGAAGUUGUUCCAGUAUGAGGAGAGAUGCUUGUCAUAAGGUAAACCUUGCUCUUUGAUGCUAUAGUAAAUCAUAAUAAAGAUAAUGAAUCAUAAUAAAAUCAAAAUACAAGUUUGGUUGAAAUCCUGUGCAAUUUGAGCCAAAUGAAUAUAGAGGUGAGUAUCCUGUCGGACAUUUUGGAGACUAGGGUUCCAUUCCCUGUCUAUGUUUACUUACAAAGUACAAUUUUGUUAUAUUACUUAUGAAUAAAGUAUACAUUUGAUAGGCAUUGUCAGUUGUAGUUGUCUAACAGGCUAACUUUUGGUAUGUUGGUGGUUCUGUAACUUUUUGUGUUGCCUCUACAGAGUAGUGGUGACAUAUAGGGAUCACUUCUCCGUCGUCUGUCUGUCCGUGCAAAACACAUGGGUGACUAGGAAAGUAAUAGGUAUUGGUACAUUUUCUUUGAUUGUUUUUUGUUUGUUUUACUUGUGUGUCUUCUUUUAAGCCUUGUGUGACUAAAAAUGAAUGAAAAGAUCAAAGGAAAAGUCAUGUAAGUACUUCCGACUGUUUGUCCGGACUACUCAAAAACUACUAGUGCAAUUUCAUCUAAACUUUACAAGAAAGAUCAGUUACAAGUCUAGUUGUGCAUCUUGUCAUCAUUUUUGGGUUCAAUCAUAUUUGUCAGAGAAAUGGCCCUUCAAUGAUUUUAAUUUUUAAAUUGACUAUACAAAGUAUAUAGAGAACUGUCCUACUCGCCCCGGAGUCCGCAUUAAAGUUUUGGUGCAUUAAAAUAUUUUUUAAUGGAUGAAACUCAUGGUUAACUUUUUGCUUGUGAGCUGGUAUCUCCCUAACUAUUGAAAGGAAUGGAAUGAAACUUAAUAUACAUUUUCACUGUGAUUUUUUAACAUGAUUGGCACAGGUCCCAUAACUCUGAUUUACUUAUUUACAUAUUUAUGCCCCUUUUUAUACUCAAUGAAACAUCCUUGUGACAACUCUAUCGAAUAGUCGAGCAUUGCUGUCCUCCAACAGCUCUUGUUGAACUUGGAAAAUUUAAUUGAAAAUUGUUAUAUUUUUUUAAGUACUUGUAUUAUUUUUGUUAUUAUAAAUGAUAUCUACUCUAGACUUAGGAUAAUUGUCCUUUGUCAUUACUCACAUCAUG